UACGAUCAAGAUCAAGGACUCACGGGAAGAUAUCACAACACAACUCUAGACACAAAUUAAAAUAAUACAAGCUUUAUAUUACAAGCCAGGGGCCUCGAGGGCUCGAAUACAUAAGCUCGAAAACACAAGAGUCAGCGGAAGCAACAAUAUCUGAGCACAGACUUAAGUUAGACAAGUUUGCCUUAAGAAGGCUAGCACAAAAGCAACAUCGAUCGAAAAGGCAAGGCCUCCUGCCUGGGAGCCUCCUAACUACUCCUGGUCAUCGGCGGCCUCCACGUAGUAGUAAGCAUCGGCGGUGGCAUCUGGCUCCUGGGCUCCGUCAUCUGGUUGCAUCAGCCGGAAAGAAGAAGAAAGGGGGAAAAGGGGGAGCAAAGCAACCGUGAGUACUCAUCCAAAGUACUCGCAAGCAAGGAUCUACACUACAUAUGCAACAUUAUCAAAGGAAGGCUGUAUAUGUGGACUGGGCUGCAGAAAUGCCAGAAUAGGGAGAAGGCCUAGUCCUAUCGAAGACUAGCAUCUUCUCGAACCCACCAUCUUGCAGCAACAGGAGGGAGUAGAGUAGCAUAAAGUAAAGUAGCAGUGGUGUUAUCAACCUCGCCCGGAGAUCCUUUCUCGACUCCCUGCGAGAAAGAAAUCCCAGAGCCAUACUAUCUAGUUAUCAUCACAAUCAAAUCCUCAUCACCAUCCAGUUCUCAUCACAAGUAUCCAGUUCUAGUUGUAUCGAUUGGGAUACAACUCCAAGUGUCCGUUACCGUAGGACAGGCUAUCGAUAGAUGUUUUCUUCCCUGCAGGGGUGCACCAACUUACCCACCACACUCGCUUAACUCCGGCCGGACACACUUUCCAGGGUCAUGCCCGGCCUCGGCCAAACAAUACGCUGCAACCCGACCUAGCCUUAAUAGAGAGGCCAGCACGCCAGACUAAACCUAUGCCCCCAGGGGUCAUGGGCCAUCUCCCCGAGAACUCCUGCACAUUGCGAGGGCGGCCGGUGAGCAGACCUAGCUACCUCCUUCAACAAGGCAGGCGCUUACGCAGUCCAACCUGGCGCGCGCCGCUCAGUCGCUGACGUCUAUUAAGCUUCGGCUGAUGUAUACGAUGUAGAAUGCCCAUACUAUGCCCACGUGAUGGUUAGUGCUAUCAGGCCAGAGGCCCCUCGGAUCAAAUAUCCAAAUUGUAGUGGAUUAGGAACGCGCGGUAACAAGCAGAGACUCACGAAAGAUGUGACCCCAUCGCCCCGUCUCGAGGACUUGCGGCAAGGGCUAGGAAUGCCCGGCCACGCCUCGUAAUUAUCUCGCGGGCACCUUCCAGGUCAACCCGUCUCCACAUCACUCACAAAUAUGCUCGCGCGGGUACCCCUCAGGGUCGGCCCGUCUUUAGUAACAUGGUUUAGUGUAAAGUCAUAGUAACCAUAGUAACUGUGUGUCUAAACAUCAAGGGGAAAACCCGAGGAAUCACCCUCGGUGAAUUCCACUCGAUGUAAUCAUCAAGGUGAACGUAAGAGGAUUCACCCUCGAGGUCCACACUUGAGGGGUUGCACGACAGAGUCGUAUCAGAAGUGGUUAAAGAGGAAUUCACCCUCGAUGACCACGACCGAAUAGCUACACUACAGGGUUAACAUCAGAAGUACUGAUGAGGUCCCACCCUCGGUACUCGAUAGUAACCCAGUAGUGUCGAGCAACUAAGGGGAAGUGAUGUGCGGUGUCGGGGCCUGGUCUUCGAUCCCGUUGAUCGGGUCUUCUGAUAAUCGAGCGGGGCAGUCGGGACAAGGCGGGGGUCACUGAUGGAUCACUAACCAACCUAUACUAAGCAGUUUAGGAUAAGCAGGUAAGGUACAACAGUAGAUACAAAAGCAGGCUAUGCAUCAGAAUAGGAGCAAUCAAUAACAGUAGCAAAAUCUAAUGCAAGCAUGAGAGAAUGGAAUGGAUGAUAUCGGGAUGAUCAAAGGGGGGGCUUGCCUGGUUGCUCUGGCAAGGAGGGGUUGUCGGAGACGUAGUCGGUCACAUGGGCAGCAUCGGUCUCGGGGUCUAUCGGAGAGAAGAGGGAGAAGAAACAGUAAAUAGAGAGCAAGCAAGUGCAUAAUAGGACAACAGGCAAAGCUAGACGUGUUCUAACGUGGUGCUACACGCUACCGGCGAAGGGGGAUAACAUCCGGGAAUGCUUUCUCGAAGUUUGGCAUUUUCGGACAGACGAACCGGAUGGGGAAAGUUGCGUGUUUGCUAUGCUAGGGUUGUGUGAUGGACAAAUGGGUUGCGUAUCCGGAUUCUUCUCAUCGUUCUGAGCAACUUUCAUGUAUAAAGUUUUUUUAUCCAAGCUACGGUUUAUUUUAUAUUAAUUUUCAAAGUUUAAUACAUUUUCUAAAAUUCUGGAUUUAACACUAAUUCGAAAAAUUAAAUGGACUAACAGCUAGGUGCACCCGAAAAUAUACCCAGUAGUGUGUGUUAGAGGCUGACAGUGGGGCCACGAUCAAAGUCAACAGCCCAAGCAGCGUUGACUGGUCAAAGUGAACAGUACAGGUGGGUCCCGGCUGUCAUUGACUCGCGAUUUUUCAGAUAAUUAAAUAGUAACAGUUAACAGGGGGCCACAUGUCAUACUCUGUAAUUGUUUGACUAGUGGGUUAAAUUAAAAGGGGUAGUUAGUGGGGGGUGGACCCCAUACGUUAGUGAAACAACCACAUGGGGGGUUUAAUUUCUAAAAGGGGAUUAACCCCUAAUCUGGAGAGAGAGAUGGCCGGCCCGUACGUGAAGUGGCCUUGGGCCAUGCCUGGGACGGACACACGCUCGACUUGGCCAUGGCCUAGCGCGGUCAGAGGAGGUGCAGGGAGAGGACGAGGGUGGUGCGCCGGCUGGCCGAGGUGGAAGCAGGCUAGGCACAAGGUAGGGCGCACAAGGAGCGGCCAGGGCACCGACGCGGUUGUACGCAGAUAGCAGUAGUCAGCGGCGGUCGUAGGGAACAACGAGCAGCAGCAGCGUCAACAACAAAAGCAACGCACGAGCAGCACAUCAGUGGCAUGGGCAGCAACACCGGCAGUAGGAGCGGCAGCUAGCGACUAGCAACAACAGAGGGCAGGCACGCAGGCGCGCGUGCACGCGCUGGCCACGGCCAGGGCGAAGGCGGGCCCGGGAAGGAGCGGACAGGGGCACACGGGAUUCGGACCGGGCAUGGCGAGCCGCGAGCGCGAGCUCGGUCGCAGGGGAUCCGGCGUCAUACUUCAAGAGGAAAACAGGAGGGGGAGUGGGAAAACUGAGGAGAGCUCACUACGGGGAGGUCGUGGACGAGCUCGAGGGGGUUGGGGACGCACGAGGACGGCCGAAGGCGAGCGGGUCGACGAGGUGGACGACGGCGACCGUGGUUGGGGAAGAAGGCCGAUGGCGAUGGCUCCAGUUGCUCCGGCUCGACCUGGCGCUUGCAGACAGUGCAGAAGCGGACGGCGAUGCUCCUCGACUUCCUCCUGAGCACCGGGGAGGCUAUCGGCCACGAGCACGACGACGGCACGACGAUUGCGGUCGGGUGACAGAGGAGGGAAGAGAGCGAGCGAGGAGGAUGGGGAAUGGGGAUUAGGGUUCGUCUCGGCGCUCGGGGUGGAUCUUAUCCAUCUCCAGGACGAGCGGAUGGCCGACACGGCACCACCAGAGGCAUGGAUGGGCG
rnacentral:lncRNA from 1 species